rnacentral:misc_RNA from 1 species
UCAAACUUGGUCAUUUAGAGGAAGUAAAAGUCGUAACAAGGUUUCCGUAGGUGAACCUGCGGAAGGAUCAUUAUUGAAUAAAAUUGGUCGGGUUGAUGCUGGCUCCUAGGAGCAUGUGCACGCCUGCCACCAUUUUAUUUUCAUUCACCUGUGCACUUUUUGUAGACAUGGAACAGCUCUCGAGUAAGAAAAACUCGGCUUUGAGAACGUGCCAUUUUGGCUGUUCUUGUGUGUUCUCGUCUAUGAUUUUUAUACACACCUAUGUAUGUAAUAGAAUGUAAUGUUAUUGGCCUUUGUGCCUUUAAUCUAAUACAACUUUCAACAACGGAUCUCUUGGCUCUCGCAUCGAUGAAGAACGCAGC